rnacentral:rRNA from 1 species
CCCUAAGACAUUCUGAGCCGCACGCGCGCUACACUGACGAAGUCAACGAGUUUUCCUUUACCUAAAUGUACGGGUAAACUUUGAAACGUCGUCGUGCUGCGAAUAGAUCCUUGCAAUUUUCGAUCUUAAACGAGGAAUACCUAGUAAGCGCAAGUCAUCAACUUGCGUUGAUUACGUCCCUGCCCUUUGUACACACCGCCAAUCGCUACUACCGAUUGAAUGGUUUGGCGAGGCCUUCAGAUCCGCGACUCGUUUGUGGAGAAGUUGGACAAACUCAGUCAUUUAGAGGAAGUUAAAGUCGUAACA